GCUUAACACAUGCAAGUCGAGGGGCAGCACAGGUAGCAAUACCGGGUGGCGACCGGCGCACGGGUGAGUAACGCGUAUGCAACUUGCCUAUCAGAGGGGGAUAACCCGGCGAAAGUCGGACUAAUACCGCAUGAAGCAGGGAUCCCGCAUGGGAAUAUUUGCUAAAGAUUCAUCGCUGAUAGAUAGGCAUGCGUUCCAUUAGGCAGUUGGCGGGGUAACGGCCCACCAAACCGACGAUGGAUAGGGGUUCUGAGAGGAAGGUCCCCCACAUUGGUACUGAGACACGGACCAAACUCCUACGGGAGGCAGCAGUGAGGAAUAUUGGUCAAUGGCCGAGAGGCUGAACCAGCCAAGUCGCGUGAGGGAUGAAGGUUCUAUGGAUCGUAAACCUCUUUUAUAAGGGAAUAAAGUGCGGGACGUGUCCCGUUUUGUAUGUACCUUAUGAAUAAGGAUCGGCUAACUCCGUGCCAGCAGCCGCGGUAAUACGGAGGAUCCGAGCGUUAUCCGGAUUUAUUGGGUUUAAAGGGUGCGUAGGCGGCCUUUUAAGUCAGCGGUGAAAGUCUGUGGCUCAACCAUAGAAUUGCCGUUGAAACUGGGGGGCUUGAGUAUGUUUGAGGCAGGCGGAAUGCGUGGUGUAGCGGUGAAAUGCAUAGAUAUCACGCAGAACCCCGAUUGCGAAGGCAGCCUGCCAAGCCAUGACUGACGCUGAUGCACGAAAGCGUGGGGGUCAAACAGGAUUAGAUACCCCUGGUAGUCCACGCAGUAAACGAUGAUCACUAGCUGUUUGCGAUACACUGUAAGCGGCGCAGCGAAAGCGUUAAGUGAUCCACCUGGGGAGUACGCCGGCAACGGUGAAACUCAAAGGAAUUGACGGGGGCCCGCACAAGCGGAGGAACAUGUGGUUUAAUUCGAUGAUACGCGAGGAACCUUACCCGGGUUUGAACGCAUUCGGACCGAGGUGGAAACACCUUUUCUAGCAAUAGCCGUUUGCGAGGUGCUGCAUGGUUGUCGUCAGCUCGUGCCGUGAGGUGUCGGCUUAAGUGCCAUAACGAGCGCAACCCUUGCCACUAGUUACUAACAGGUGAUGCUGAGGACUCUGGUGGGACUGCCAGCGUAAGCUGCGAGGAAGGCGGGGAUGACGUCAAAUCAGCACGGCCCUUACAUCCGGGGCGACACACGUGUUACAAUGGCGUGGACAAAGGGAAGCCACCUGGCGACAGGGAGCGAAUCCCCAAACCACGUCUCAGUUCGGAUCGGAGUCUGCAACCCGACUCCGUGAAGCUGGAUUCGCUAGUAAUCGCGCAUCAGCCAUGGCGCGGUGAAUACGUUCCCGGGCCUUGUACACACCGCCCGUCAAGCCAUGGGAGCCGGGGGUACCUGAAGUCCGUAACCGCGAGGAUCGGCCUAGGGUAAAACUGGUGACUGGGGCUAAGU
rnacentral:rRNA from 1 species